UUUAAGGCUGAAUAAUACCUUAUUUUAUAUAUCUAUAUUUACAUAUAGAUAUGCAUAUAUAUCACAUUUUCUCACUUGCUCAUUUGUGGAUGGACACAGGUUGUUUUCAUGUCUUGGCUAUCGUGAAUUAUGCUGCAAUGAACACGGGAGUGAAAAUAUCUCUUUGAGAUAGUGACUUUAGUUCCUUCGGAAGUACAACCAGAAGUCCACCAAUAGCUGUUAAACUAAUAAAUUCAGUAAAGUUGGAGGAUACAAAAUUAACAUACAAAUUCAGCUGCAUUUCUAUGCACUAAGAACAAACUAUAUGAAAAAAUAAGAAAACAAUCACAUUUAUAAUAGCAUCAAAAUAAUAAAAUGCUUAGGAAUAAAUGUAACCAAAGAGGUGAAAGAUCUGUACACUGAAAAUCAUAAAAUGCUGAAGAAAUUAACUGAAGAUGACAUAAAGUAAAUGGAGAGAUAUUCCAUGUACAUUGAUUGGAAAAAUUAAUAUUGUUAAAAUGUUCAUACUAUCUAAAAAAUCUACAGAUUUACACAAUAUCUAUCAAAAUUCCAAUGCUGUUUUUUUCACAGCAGUAAGAAAACCAAUUAUAAAAUUCACGUGGAACCAUAAAAGACCCCAAAUAGCCAAAGCAAGAAAACCAGAGCCAAAGGCAUCAUACUAUCUGACUUCAAAAUCGACUACAAAGGUAUCAAGUAGCACAAUGCUGGCAUAAAAACAGACAUCUAACUCCAUGGAACAGAAUAGAGAGUCAGGAAACAAACCCACAUGUUUACAGGCAAAGACUUUAAAAAAACAUGUGCCAAGAGUACACCAAGAGAAAAAGGUAGUAUCUUUAAUAAAUGGUGGAAUGGUGGUAGGAAAACGGAACCCUUGUACUACACACAAAUGUCAACUAAAAAUUCGUUAAAGAUUUAAACAUAAGAUCAGAGACUGUAAAACUCUUAAGAGAAAACCUGGGAAAUACUCCUAGACACUGGUCUUGGCAAUGAUAUUUUUGAAUUUCACACCAAUAGCACAGGCAACGAGUGCUAAAAGAAACUAGCAGGACUACAUCAAACUAAGUUACCACUCAAUAGAAAAAAGAAAGGAAAAAAGAAAAAACAUACAGAAUAGAACAUAUUUGCAAACCAUAUAUCUGAUAAGUGCUUAAUAUCCAAAAUAUAUACGGAGCUCAUAUAACUCAAUAGCAACACAACAAAAUGAAAUACAACAAAACUGAUUUUUAAAAAAUGAGCGAAAGACCUGAACAGACAUCCCUCAAAAGAAGACAUUUAAAUGACCAUCAAGUAUGUGAAAGCAUGUUCUGCAUCACUAAACUUCAGAGAAAUGCAAAUGAAAACCAUAAUGAGAUAUCACCUCACACAGAAUGAUGAUUACCAAAAAGUCAAAAGAUAACAAGCGUUGGCAAGGAUGUAGAGAAAAGGGAACGCUUAGACACCAUUGGAAGGAACAUGAAUUACUAUAGUCAUCAUAGAACACAGGACAGUUUCCUCAAAAAGAAAAAUCAUGAGUUUCCAAUGGCUUUUAAGUACAUAGAUCAGCCCAUCAGCUCCACCACUUGCUGACUGUGUCAUCUUAGGAACUUUAUUAGCCUCUUCGUGCGUUAACAUUUCUCAAUUGCCUAUGCGGAAGAUAGUAGUAACUAAUUUACAUUAUUCUGAGAAUGAAAUUGAUAAUCCAACAAAAUCACCUAAAACAAUAUCUGAUACCCAAAAUGAAUGCUCAAUGUCUAUGAACCUUUCUGUUGAUCAUCACCAUCAUCAUCAUCACUAUCAAUGUAUGCCAGUAUGAUAAGCAUAAACACUCCAUAUCCAAUUGAGUAUUAAUUUGUCCAUCUUGUGUAAGACCAUAAACUUCUGAAAACAAAGCUUUUCCUUUCAUAGUGUAUUUUCUGUAUUUAGCACAAAAACUAUCACAUUAUUUGAUAAAUAAAAGAAAUGGUUUGUUUCACCUGGACUUCUGAUUCUAAAUCCUCUUUGGGAAAAAAAUAGUUCUAUUUUAGUAAGAGUAGCUAAAUAAUUGUGGAUUUUAAGAUUUAAAACAUCAAGGUAUUGCCGUGCUUCACUUUUUGUCCAUAAAUGGUGUUCUGUUCUUAGAUUUUCAGAAGGGGCAACAAGGACCCUCUGACUAUCCUCUGUCAUCCAUUCCCUUCUCCCCUUAUUCCUCACCUUAAUUCCUUUUCUGGGCACUAGUGUAUAGUCCUGUUCAAUCUUCUUUUUUGCUUCUAAGUAGAUAUUGUGCCCUCCAGGAACAAAGAAAGUUCCUCUUGAAAUACUUUCCAUCAAGAGCUCUGAAAGCUGCUUAAGCUCAGCCUGGCAAUAUUUGGCAGAUGCCUCUUCAUUCUGCAGCACAAAGUCUUUCUUCUUUUUCUCCAUGGUGUCCUGCCAGAAAAGUGUAGGGGAAAAAACAGUAGAAAGAAGCUGUUAGAAGGGAAGGUCCAACUGUGAUCCUCUUGGAAGAAGUAGUCUGAUGGCCUCAGAGCGGACUGAGAUAUGGUGUAGACCAAGAGUCAGAAGACUUGUUUUAAUUCCAGUUUGAAUCAGUUCUCUGCAUGGCCUGUGGAAAGUUCAUGAACUCUAUCUUUCCUUCAGCAAAAGAUGAUCAAUGGUGAUCUAACUAUGAAAAAUAAGCAAGGGACAAUUCAGUUGUGGCAGUAGUAGUGUCCUUAGAGAGCAUGGAUUGCUAUGGAUAAAAUGUGUACACAGAAAAUCAACCCUUCUGGUAUAAUCACAUCCCAGUAAUGACUUGAUUGUACUCUGAACAGAGCUUGGAAUUCUUUUGAAAUUCUUCCAAAAGGGAUCUUAACAUGUGAAGAUAUGGGAACAUUAUUAUUUUUUGCUUACACUUGUAAGCUAUGAUUGCAUCUGGGUUUUCUCAAUAUGUACUAAGAGAUUUCUGUCACUUGUGGACUGGUAAUAGACAGACUGAAAGAAGGUUAUUCAAUAACAGUGCCAACGGCAGAUUUAAGAUAUCUCCCAGGAUUUCCCCUCCGAAGUUUCCACACUCUCCAUAGUCCCUGGGCUUAUUAAUACGAUGGAGUGUACUCCAGUGUUUAGGUAACAUUAUAUGAUAUCUGUUGACUUUUAGAGUAUUCAAGUAGUACUGAGUAUACUCAAGAAAGUAUGUAAGAAUUACCAUAUCACAUGAGCUCUUUGAAAGCAGAGCUUUUUUGUUUACCUUGAGGCAGAAGAGAAAGCCAGAGAGAUUAGAAACAAGAGAAACAUUUGAUGCAUCAUUGCUGACUUGAAGAUGGAGAGAGGUUCCCCUGAGCAUACAGGAGUGCUCCAUGAAGACUGCAAUGGCUUCCCUCUCACAGGCCGUGUGCACGUCCAGCAGGUCCUGGAGCGUGUCUGUGGGGAAUUUCACUUGCUGGGCCAUCCGCUGGCUGUAGUGGUCAGCUGCCCUCUGCACGGCCGCUGAGUUCUCACGCUGGGCCAGAGCUUCCAUUGCAUUCUCCAGACAAGGAACCGCUCCACUGUUGAUGGCAUCCAGGUAGGUCUCCACCAGCAUCCCCAGCCCUGAAUGAUUUAGAAAAUUUAGGGAAUAGAUAGAAAGUUUUCACUCAUUGUUUUACAAGUGGUAUGUAUCAUCAUUCUAAAAAUCACAAAAAAUUCCAUUUAACAUGAAUUUUCCCUCCUUCUCCUUCUUUUAAUUCUACUAUUACUACUACUACUACUUUUUACGAAGCCACUUUCUUACAAUAACGUCCCUGUUGUUCCUAUUUAUUCUUUCUAUUUUGUUCUCCAACUCAUCACAUUACAAAGUUAAUUACUAAUCACAAACAAUAUGGAGCAAGGGUUUCUUGAAAAAGAAUACUUUUCUGCUUAAGUAAAAAUUUAAAAACAUUUAUUCAGCAAAGUAAAUUACAUCAUUUGUGGAUCAUGAUUCUGAAUGUAAACGCAGGUGCCUUUAUAAAAACACUUAAGAGAGUGCCAGAACAUUAAACCCUGUGAGAAGCUCUUUUCUGUACAGAGCACUAAAAGACUGCACAGGUAACAUGUUCAUGAAGCCAGCUUUGUUUAUAAGAUUAUGCUGAAUUUUGUAUCUCAAAAUCUCAUUAGGCUUGCAGAAACUCAUGACAUGCUACUUACUUUCUGUUUUGUGUAAAUUCACAACACAUCUUUUAUACCCUCACUGAGAAAAACAUCCUUCACUUAUCCCACACCUCAUAACACAGAUGUUAUCUCCUUACCAGCUGUUCGUGCUUAUAAGCUUAGUUUACUAGUUUUUGAGAUACGGUAGGCCUCAAUAAACACCCAUAUAGGGAAAUAGACUCACGGUUUCCAGUGACAAGGAUUCCCUCCCUCAGGGUCUUGGUCUUUGCAUGGGUGAGGAUAUAAGAACAGAAGUUUUCUGAUUGCACCUGAAAAUUACUAUCCAGUUGGUCUUCGGGUACUUCUUCAACAUGGAGUAAGAGAUUUUUGUCAUUUGUUGGCCGGUCAAAGACAAAGCACUUCCGUUUUGGAAAGAAAUGCCUGAUCCACUCCCUGGGCUUGUUAGAAUUUUGGAUUUGGGGAUUCUUCCCUGCAGAAUUAGUGAAAAAAGUGACUACUGAAGAACAGCUUUUAAGCGAGCCUGAAGAUUUUCAUUUCCAAAGUUCCUUGCAUCAACCACUACAGUCUCUCAUGUCUGUGAAUCUAUGCAACAAAACCUCUCAUGCAACCAAACUUAUGCUAAUCUACUUGAGUUAUGAAAAGUCAAUUUCUGCACAAAGCAGAGUCAGAAAGUUACUUCUGGAAAGGAAGGGAAGGCCUCCACCUCAAGUGAAGGAAUUUAUGGUUGGUUUCCUCAGCCGCUGUAUGAUGUCUGGUAGACUGAUGAUUUUUUAAAUGUUUGCUGAAUUAUGAUUAACUAAAAUAUGAUAAGAAGUACUUUCUUUAAAAAUUGUAUAUAUUUAAGGUGUUAUAACAUGAAGUUUCGAUGUGCAUGUACAUAGUGAAAUUACUACUAAGUAAGCAAAUUAUAUAUCCAUUACCUUCUAUACUUUUCAUCCCUUUUUUUUGUGGUAAGAGUACCUAAAAUCUAAUCUCUGUAAAUUUUAAAUGUAAAAUACAAUAUCGUUAAGGAUAGUUCUCCUGCAGUGUAUUAGAUCCCUAGACUUUCCCACCCUAUAUAACUUCAAGUUUGUACCCUUCACCCACAUGUCCUCAUUUCCUUCCUCACCGUGCCCUGGUAACCACUGUUCUACUUUCUGUUUCUAUGUAUUUGAUGUUUUAAAAUAGAAUCCAUAUAGAAAAGAGGUCCUGUCGUAUUUUUCUUCCUGUUUCUGGCUAAUAUUACAUAGCAUCAUGGACUUCCUCAAUCUUACUGUCCCCAUGUCAGAAAUGAAAUGUAGGGCUUAAAAAUAAAGUAAUGCUAGAAACAAGGACAAGAUGCGGCUGGGGAAAAUGUCGGAAAGAGACAGAAAAUACUCAGGUCAGAUUAUAUUAGGUCUAACAUUGUCUUGCAGAGGGAUUCUGUGGCAUGUAUCAGUUAUUCAAAACAAAUAUUUGUUGAAAGGAUGAACAAAUGAACAAACAUGGAUAUUGAUUGUAGGUGCCAGCAGGUAUCCACUCUGCUAAAUAUAAUCUGUUUAACAAACGUAUAAUAGAUUGACAACAUAUUAUAUGAGACUGUAGAAUGAAGUAGGUGAUGUUAUGAAAACAGUAAAAUAAAAGGUUUGACAGUCCUAUUGGAA